UUCCUUAAUAACCAACAAUGAUUUAACUUUAUAGGAAAAUCAGGAAAGUGCCAAUACGACAGAAUCCAAGGAAGAAAAGUCUGAGAGCAGUCAAGAAGAACCAGAAUUAAAGGCAGAGAAGAGGAAAGACAUCAUGUCUUCCUCUUCAGAGAGCAGUGAGUGCAUUGGCUGGACUGGCAAUGUCGGUUUGAAAAGAGACAGCGAUAGGAAAGAGAUAGAAAAAGACUAUAAAAAGUUAUAUCACCAAAUGAAAGACGAAAAUAAAACUCUAAAAGAUAGAUUAAAGAAAGUAGAAGUAGAAUUAGAUAAUACAAAACAGCAGUUACAAAAAGCACUACAGAAUAACAGCAGGAAUUCUUUAAGUGACGCAGAAAAAAGGUGUCAAUUAUUUAAUAUACAGAUUUUAAAAUCUGUCAAGAAUGAUGGGAAAUACCAAGAUAGAUAUCUACUCCCAGGUUAAGUUAUAUCAGAAGAGUGUAUGGUUCUCAGUGACGCAUUUUAACAUUUUAACAAAAGUGCAUCGUAGUAUUACUUCAAUAAUUUGAAAUUCGUGAACAUGUUGUAGGCGAG
rnacentral:misc_RNA from 1 species